ensembl:snoRNA predicted gene, 23836
ACCCUCUAGUUACCUUUUACAUCAGAUCUUGAUGCAAGUCUUUAUGGGCAUAACGGAGGAAGAGUACACUGGAGCUGGCUUCACAGCAAUGCAGUUUGGUGUAGAACAAAGGGCCAAAUUCAAACAUAC